GAUGUGAAGCACAGCCUGCAGCACGAUUGAAUCAGGAGCUCCACUGACGGCUGGCACGUGUUCUUCAGUCCCCCAGGUCCUCCAGAGCUGCGCUGAGUUCAUUGAGCAGCACGGCGUGGUGCAGGGGAUAUACCGCCUGUCCGGCGUCGCGUCCAACAUCCAGAGACUGCGGCAGGAAUUUGAGUCGGAGCAGAUUCCUGAGCUCACCGUCCGUGACGUUCACAGCGUGAGCUCCCUCU